AGAUUGAACGCUGGCGGCAUGCCUAACACAUGCAAGUCGAACGGGAGUAGCAAUACUCUAGUGGCGGACGGGUGAGGAAUACGUAGGAAUUUGCCCUUAAGUGGGGGAUAAACCCGGGGAAACCCGGAUUAAUACCGCAUGACCUCGAAAGAGCAAAGUGGGGGAUCGCAAGACCUCACGCUUUUGGAGAAGCCUACGUCGGAUUAGCUAGUUGGUAGAGGUAAUGGCUCGACCAAGGCGACGAUCCGUAACUGGUCUGAGAGGAUGAAUCAGUACACGACCGGAACUGACGACACGGUCCCGGACUCCCGUAGGGGAGCGUAGCGAAGGUGGGGAAUAGUUGGACGAAGUGGGACCG
rnacentral:rRNA from 1 species